rfam:Schistosoma margrebowiei strain Zambia genome assembly, scaffold: SMRZ_contig0002088
AUUCAGCUGACGAGUCCCAAAUAGGAAGAAGCAAGCGUCCUGGAU